GUGCCGGUUUCUGACGCUGGCAUCUGUCCCCUGAUGGAAAGGAAAUUGUGUGUUUUGUACAGGCAAUUGAAAUCCGGGCCCUGCUUCCAGGCGUCAUGGAGAACCUGCUGUUUGCCAACACAGCCAUUACUGUGAAGGUGCUGAAUAUCUUCAGGAAUGCAAUGCACCAUCUGGGGAAGAGGCAUGCCAGUCCGUUUGCUCUGGAGCUGGCUGAGAAGAUCCUGCCUCUUUUUAAUCACGCAUCUUCUGAAGUGCGAGAAGGUUCCAUCCGCCUCUUCACGGAUGUGAUGGAUGCUGUGCUGUGGUCUCAGAAGGGAAGCAUGAAGAAGACCGUGCGCAGGGCCCUGCUCCCUCUGCUCUUUCACAUGAGUGACGAGACCCCUGAGCGUAGCACAGGCAUCUGGGGAAGCCCUUGUGUCCUGUGCAAAGUUCCUGAAGUGGAAGGAGCUCAAGCAGCAGGCCUGGCAGAAGAACACAGCGGGGAUCAUGAAGUGUUUGCUGCAGAAGGACAGAAAGGGAGUGGAAGGCCAACUGCAGCAGAGCCUACCAUACCUGGAGGAUUCUCAGGCCUCCUUGCGAUGCGAGGCUGUCAGAUUCAUUGGGCUGAUUGGGAAGCACUCCAGGGAGCAGAGUGA
rnacentral:lncRNA from 1 species